rnacentral:rRNA from 1 species
GAUGAACGCUGGCGGCGUGCCUAAUACAUGCAAGUCGAGCGAACAGACGAGGAGCUUGCUCCUCUGACGUUAGCGGCGGACGGGUGAGUAACACGUGGAUAACCUACCUAUAAGACUGGGAUAACUUCGGGAAACCGGAGCUAAUACCGGAUAAUAUAUUGAACCGCAUGGUUCAAUAGUGAAAGACGGUUUUGCUGUCACUUAUAGAUGGAUCCGCGCCGCAUUAGCUAGUUGGUAAGGUAACGGCUUACCAAGGCAACGAUGCGUAGCCGACCUGAGAGGGUGAUCGGCCACACUGGAACGGAGACACGGUCCAGACUCCUACGGGAGGCAGCAGUAGGGAAUCUUCCGCAAUGGGCGAAAGCUUGACGGAGCAACGCCGCGUGAGUGAUGAAGGUCUUCGGAUCGUAAAACUCUGUUAUUAGGGAAGAACAAAUGUGUAAGUAACUAUGCACGUCUCGACGGUACCUAAUCAGAAAGCCACGGCUAACUACGUG